rnacentral:rRNA from 1 species
CCGGUGCUUAUUCUUACGGUACCGUCAUUAGCCCCCUGUAUUAGAGAGAACCGUUUCGUUCCGUACAAAAGCAGUUUACAACCCGAAGGCCUUCAUCCUGCACGCGGCAUUGCUGGAUCAGGCUUGCGCCCAUUGUCCAAAAUUCCCCACUGCUGCCUCCCGUAGGAGUCUGGACCGUGUCUCAGUUCCAGUGUGGCUGGUCGUCCUCUCAGACCAGAUACAGAUCGUCGGCUUGGUAGGCUUUCACCCCACCAACUAGCUAAUCUGAUAUCGGCCGCUCCAAUCGCGCGAGGUCUUG